GAAAUUUCCUGCAUGUUCAAUUGUGGCAAAAAGGCGCAUUAAUUCCACAACAACGAUCAUGUAUGUUCAUGGCCUGGUAUACAAAAAAUUUAACAAAGUAUGCUUGGGACCUCCUUGCUGGCAUGCAGAAAAUUGAUUCGAAUUACUAUCCUGAGACAUUACAUCAGAUGUUCAUUGUUAAUGCUGGUACUGCUUUCAAGAUGUCUUGGAUGAGUGUAAAGAAAUUUCUUGAUCCAAAUACUAUGGAAAAGAUACAAGUGUUAGGAUCCAAAUUCUAGAGUAAAUUACUUGAAGUCAUUGACUCGAGU